CUAAAACGUCUGCUAACUUGCGGUUAUCCGGACUGUUUGAAAAUCGUCUUUUGAUUAACUUCAAAAAGAUUAAUUUGUUGAAAUAGUGAUUUGAUUUUUUUCAAAAAAAGACUUGUGUAAAAUAGAUUUAGGCGACUUAGUAGGGAUUUUAACUUAGUCUAAACAAAACUAAUAAACAAAUAAACACAUAAAAGGGGAAGGGAGGAGAAAGUAAAGGAUUUAGGCCAUUGGGCCCAAAUCAACGAGACCUGUCCUAGUCNN
rnacentral:lncRNA from 1 species